UACGUAGGGUGCAAGCGUUAUCCGGAAUCAUUGGGUUUAAAGGGUCCGCAGGCGGAUUUAUAAGUCAGUGGUGAAAGCCUGAUGCUUAACAUCAGAACUGCCAUUGAUACUGUAAGUCUUGAAUUCGAUCGAAGUGGGCGGAAUAUGACAUGUAGCGGUGAAAUGCUUAGAUAUGUCAUAGAACACCGAUAGCGAAGGCAGCUCACUAGGUCUGGAUUGACGCUCAGGGACGAAAGCGUGGGGAGCAAACAGG
rnacentral:rRNA from 1 species